rnacentral:rRNA from 1 species
GACGAACGCUGGCGGCGUGCCUAAUACAUGCAAGUAGAACGCUGAAGAGAGGAGCUUGCUCUUCUUGGAUGAGUUGCGAACGGGUGAGUAACGCGUAGGUAACCUGCCUGGUAGCGGGGGAUAACUAUUGGAAACGAUAGCUAAUACCGCAUGAUAUUAAUUGUCGCAUGAUAAUUAAUUGAAAGAUGCAAUUGCAUCACUACCAGAUGGACCUGCGUUGUAUUAGCUAGUUGGUGAGGUAACGGCUCACCAAGGCGACGAUACAUAGCCGACCUGAGAGGGUGAUCGGCCACACUGGGACUGAGACACGGCCCAGACUCCUACGGGAGGCAGCAGUAGGGAAUCUUCGGCAAUGGGGGGAACCCUGACCGAGCAACGCCGCGUGAGUGAAGAAGGUUUUCGGAUCGUAAAGCUCUGUUGUAAGAGAAGAACCGGGUGUGAGAGUGGAAAAGUUCAC